AGUGAACGCUGGCGGCGUGCCUAAUACAUGCAAGUCGAACGGAGUGGCGCACGCGUGAGUAAUAUAUAGCUAAUCUGCCCUUCACUAGCGGACAAAACUUGGAAACGGCUGCUAAUAUUCCAUAGGGUAGGAUGAGGCUAUAUUGUAUCAGCUAGUUGUUGAGGUAAUGGCUCACCAAGGCUAUGACGCAUAACUGGUCUGUGAGGAUGAUCAGUCAAACUGGAACUGAGACACGGGCCAGACUCCUUCGGGAGGCAGCAGUAGGGAAUAUUGCUCAAUGGGGGAAACCCAGAAGGAGCAGCGCCGCGUGGAGGAUGACACUUUUCGGAGCGUAAACUCCUUUUGUUAGGGAAGCGGUACCUAACGAAUAAGCAACGGCUAACUCCGUGCCAGCAGCCGCGGUAAUAC
rnacentral:rRNA from 1 species